GAUGAACGCUGGCGGCGUGCCUAAUACAUGCAAGUCGAGCGAACAGACGAGGAGCUUGCUCCUCUGACGUUAGCGGCGGACGGGUGAGUAACACGUGGAUAACCUACCUAUAAGACUGGGAUAACUUCGGGAAACCGGAGCUAAUACCGGAUAAUAUAUUGAACCGCAUGGUUCAAUAGUGAAAGACGGUGUUGCUGUCACUUAUAGAUGGAUCCGCGCCGCAUUAGCUAGUUGGUAAGGUAACGGCUUACCAAGGCAACGAUGCGUAGCCGACCUGAGAGGGGGGUCGGCGACACUGGAGCGGAGACACGGUCCAGAGUACUACGGGAGGCAGCAGUAGGGAAUCUUCCGCAAUGGGCGGAAACCUGACGGAGCAACGCCGCGUGAGUGAUGAAGGUCUUCGGAUCGUAAAACUCUGUUAUUAGGGAAGAACCAAUGUGUAAGUAACUAUGCCCGUCUUGACGGUACCUAAUCAGAAAGCCACGGCUAACUACGUG
rnacentral:rRNA from 1 species